rnacentral:rRNA from 1 species
UACGGGGGGGGCAAGCGUUGUUCGGAAUUACUGGGCGUAAAGGGCUCGUAGGCGGCCAACUAAGUCAGACGUGAAAUCCCCAGGCUUAACCUGGGAACUGCGUCUGAUACUGGAUGGCUUGAAUUCGGGAGAGGGAUGCAGAAUUCCAGGUGUAGCGGUGAAAUGCGUAGAUAUCUGGAGGAAUACCGGUGGCGAAGGCGGCUCUCUGGGACGGUACUGACGCUGAGACGCGAAAGCGUGGGGAGCGAACAGG